rnacentral:rRNA from 1 species
GACGAACGCUGGCGGCGUGCUUAACACAUGCAAGUCGAACGGUGAAGCCCUUCGGGGUGGAUCAGUGGCGAACGGGUGAGUAACACGUGGGAAAUCUGCCCUGCACUCUGGGACAAGCCUUGGAAACGAGGUCUAAUACCGGAUAUGACCUUCUCCUGCAUGGGGGUUGGUGGAAAGCUCCGGCGGUGCAGGAUGAUCCCGCGGCCUAUCAGCUUGUUGGUGGGGUAAUGGCCUACCAAGGCGACGACGGGUAGCCGGCCUGAGAGGGCGACCGGCCACACUGGGACUGAGACACGGCCCAGACUCCUACGGGAGGCAGCAGUGGGGAAUAUUGCACAAUGGGCGGAAGCCUGAUGCAGCGACGCCGCGUGAGGGAUGACGGCCUUCGGGUUGUAAACCUCUUUCAGCAGGGAAGAAGCGCAAGUGACGGUACCUGCAGAAGAAGCACCGGCUAACUACGUGCCAGCAGCCGCAGUAACAC